CCCUUAGAUGUUCUGGGCCGCACGCGCGCUACACUGAUGCAUUCAACGAGCCUAUCCUUGACCGACAGGUCCGGGUAAUCUUUGAAUCUGCAUCGUGACGGGGAUAGAUUAUUGCAAUUAUUAAUCUUCAACGAGGAAUGCCUAGUAAACGCAAGUCAUCAGCUUGCAUUGAUUACGUCCCUGCCCUUUGUACACACCGCCCGUCGCUCCUACCGAUUGAAUGAUCCGAUGAAUAUCAUGGAUUGAGGAUGCAAGUAGGUUCGCCUAUCUUCAUCUUCGAGAAGUGAAGUAAAUCUUAUCAUUUAGAGGAAGGAGAAGUCGUAACA
rnacentral:rRNA from 1 species